GGGGGCGUUUGGGAUGCUGGUGCACUCCGCGGUCUUCAAAACCGAUUGUGACGGGUUUUGCCCGUCAGGCAGGUUCGAUUCCUGUGCGCCUCCGCCA
rnacentral:tRNA from 1 species